rnacentral:lncRNA from 1 species
CACAGUAAUGGGCAAACAGACUGCCCGCACACGCACAUGAAGUGCAAUAAGGUUGACGGCCACUCACAUUGGCUGCAGCAGGAAGCGCUGACCUGCAGCCCGAAGAAGUUUCGCAGCGCUAACAAAGCUAUCGAGCUAACGAGGUUAAUUCCGCAUGCCGUUUGCUUCCUCGAAACCACAUUUCGCUUAACAGAAAACUACGCCUCACUUCAACUCGUACCGCGCGCGAAGUACCUAAUCCCGAAAUAGUGGUCGAGGUCGCAAAGUUAUUCGGAACGGGCAAUGUCCCUGACGAAAUCGAAAGAGGACGGCUAUCAAGCUAACCUGCCUAGUGUCAGCUACCUGCCUAAAUGUGAGCUAUGUCUGAAGCUGUAUGCAUCGCUACACCAGCGACGCCAUGGGGCGUACACAAUUUUUUUUUCGGGGCGGGGAGACACAGCCUUGACCUGAAGUGCGGGCCGGACAGGCACAUGUGGGGGGGAGGGAGGGUGCACGGGCCUUGUGUGCCACCCCCUGGCUACGCCACUGAGCGACGCGCUCCGUCCUCUCAAAUUCCGUCACGGCGAACACCCGAUACGUGGCCGCAGCACGCCCAGAAAAGAUUCGGGCUUAAUUUUACGCCGCAACUAAUCUCACGUAACUUUUUGCGAGCGUAACCAAGACGCCUGGCGCGUACCAAUUCGAGAAACUCAACUGACAGACUACCUAAGCU